GCUUAGAGUUUGAUCCUGGCUCAGGAUGGACGCGAGUCGGCGUGCCUAACACAUGCAAGUCGUAUGGGUUUUAGGACCCAUGGCGGACGGGUGAGUAACACGUGGGCACCUGCCCCCAGAUGGGGUAUAAUGUAGGGAAACCUUCGGUAACCCCCCAUAGGCGCAUCAGGUGCUUGGAAAAGCUCAGGGCUGUCUGGGGAUGGGCCUGCGGCUGAUUAGCUAGUUGGUGAGGGUAAAGGCCUACCAAGGCGAGGAUCAGUAGCUGGCCUGAGAGGGCGGCCGGCCACAUUGGGACUGAGACACGGCCCAAACUCCUACGGGAGGCAGCAGUGGGGAAUCUUCUGCAAUGGGCGCAAGCCUGACAGUGCAACGCCGCGUGGAGGACCAAGGCCACUGGAGGCUGUAAACUUCUUUGCACGGGCACAGGAAGGCUGACCGCCCGGGAAGCAAGCAUCGGCUAACUCCGUGCCAGCAGCCGCGGUAAUACGGGGGAUGCAAGCAUUAUCCGGAUUUACUGGGCGUAAAGCGUCUGUAGGCGGUUCGGUGUGUCUGGUGUCAAAACGCAGAGCUUAACUCUGUGGGGCAUUUGGAUACUAUUGAACUCGAGGGCGGUAGAGGUGGGGGGAACCCCUCGAGGAGCAGUGAAAUGCUUUGAGACGUGGGGGAAGGCCGGAGGCGAAGGCUCCCCACUGGGCCGCGCCUGACGCUGAGAGACGAAAGCUAGGGGAGCAAAAGGGAUUAGAUACCCCUGUAGUC
rnacentral:rRNA from 1 species